UAACAAGGAUUCCCCUAGUAACUGCGAGUGAAGCGGGAAAAGCUCAAAUUUAAAAUCUGGCGGUCUUCUGGCCGUCCGAGUUGUAGUCUGGAGAAGCGUUUUCCGCGUUGGACCGUGUACAAGUUUCCUGGAACGGAGCGUCAUAGAGGGUGAGAAUCCCGUCUUUGACACGGAUCCCAAUGCUUUGUGAUGCGCUCUCAAAGAGUCGAGUUGUUUGGGAAUGCAGCUCAAAAUGGGUGGUGAAUUCCAUCUAAAGCUAAAUAUUGGCGAGAGACCGAUAGCGAACAAGUACCGUGAGGGAAAGAUGAAAAGCACUUUGGAAAGAGAGUUAAACAGUACGUGAAAUUGUUGAAAGGGAAACGCUUGAAGUCAGUCGCGUCGGCCGGGACUCAGCCUUGCAUCCGCUUGGUGUACUUUCCGGUCGACGGGCCAGCAUCAGUUUUGACCGCGAGAUAAAGGCGGAGGGAAUGUGGCUCUCUCGGGAGUGUUAUAGCCCUUCGUCAGAUGUCGCGGUUGGGACUGAGGAACUCAGCACGCCUUUAUGGCCGGGGCUCGCCCACGUACGUGCUUAGGAUGCUGGCGUAAUGGCUUUAAACGACCCGUCUUGAAACACGGACCAAGGAGUCUAACAUGCCUGCGAGUGUUCGGGUGGAAAACCCGUGCGCGCAAUGAAAGUGAAAGUUGGGAUCCCUGUCGUGGGGUGCACCGACGCCCGGCCCAGACCUUUUGUGACGGAGCUGCGGUAGAGCAUGUAUGUUGGGACCCGAAAGAUGGUGAACUAUGCCUGAAUAGGGUGAAGCCAGAGGAAACUCUGGUGGAGGCUCGUAGCGAUUCUGACGUGCAAAUCGAUCGUCAAAUUUGGG
rnacentral:rRNA from 1 species